rnacentral:tRNA from 1 species
AUAGAUAGAAUAUGUGUGAUUUUGGAUGAUUAUUAAUUGGCAAUGGCACUGUGGCCGAAUGGGAAGGCAGA